UACGGGGGGGGCAAGCGUUGUUCGGAAUUACUGGGCGUAAAGGGCUCGUAGGCGGCCAACUAAGUCGGAUGUGAAAUCCCCAGGCUUAACCUGGGAACUGCAUCCGAUACUGGAUGGCUUGAAUUCGGGAGAGGGAAGCGGAAUUCCGGGUGUAGCGGUGAAAUGCGCAGAUAUCCGGAGGAACACCGGUGGCGAAGGCGGCUUCCUGGACCGACACUGACGCUGAGGCGCGAAAGCUAGGGGAGCAAACGGG
rnacentral:rRNA from 1 species